AUAUGAAUCUCCAGAGAGUUUAUUAAAAUGCAGAUUCUGAAUCAGGAGGCUAAGAGCCUACGUUUCUCACAAAAUUUCUAGGUGAUGUUAGU
rnacentral:miRNA from 1 species